rnacentral:rRNA from 1 species
AGGACGAACGCUGGCGGCGUGCUUAACACAUGCAAGUCGAGGGGGAGUAGGGGCAACUCUACUCCACCGGCGAACGGGUGCGUAACACGUGAGCGACCUACCCUGGUGUGGGGGAUAGCCGGCCCAACGGCCGGGUAAUACCGCAUGCGCUCGUCUGGCUUCCUGGUCGGACGAGCAAAGCCUUCGGGCGCAUUGGGAGGGGCUCGCGGCCUAUCAGCUAGUUGGCGGGGUAACGCCCACCAAGGCGGCGACGGGUAGCUGGUCUGAGAGGAUGGCCAGCCACAUUGGGACUGAGAGACGGCCCAGACUCCUACGGGAGGCAGCAGUGGGGAAUUCUGCGCGAAGUAGGACGAACGCGUCGACGCACGCGACGCCGCGUGGCGGACGGACGGCCGUCGGUCGUACCG